rnacentral:lncRNA from 1 species
AUUUAUUCUAAUGUCGACAUUUGUUCUGGUUGCUUUAAUUUACUAAGAAACAAUUUUGUAAAAAACAAAAUGAAUUCCAGAGGAAACUGAAAAGCCACCAACCAAGCAAUUUAUUCAGAUAAAUCACUUCAAAUUCUACGAAAAUGCCAAUCACUUGAAUAGUUAUUUUGCCAUCUAUCCAGCAUACAUUCAUCAACUAGAACACAAGAAAACAACUUCUAAAUAAAUUCAAGUAAAGUACUUAAGAAAUCCUAAACUU